rnacentral:rRNA from 1 species
GACGAACGCUGGCGGCGUGCUUAACACAUGCAAGUCGAACGGAAAGGCCCUGCUCUUGUGGGGUGCUCGAGUGGCGAACGGGUGAGUAACACGUGAGUAACCUGCCCCUGACUUUGGGAUAACUUCAGGAAACUGGGGCUAAUACCGGAUAGGAGCUCCUGCUGCAUGGUGGGGGUUGGAAAGUUUCGGCGGUUGGGGAUGGACUCGCGGCUUAUCAGCUUGUUGGUGGGGUAGUGGCUUACCAAGGCUUUGACGGGUAGCCGGCCUGAGAGGGUGACCGGCCACAUUGGGACUGAGAUACGGCCCAGACUCCUACGGGAGGCAGCAGUGGGGAAUAUUGCACAAUGAGCGGAAGCCUGAUGCAGCAACGCCGCGUGCGGGAUGACGGCCUUCGGGUUGUAAACCGCUUUCGCCUGUGACGAAGCGUGAGUGACGGUAAUGGGUAAAGAAGCACCGGCUAACUACGUG